CAGUAGCCGCGGGAAUACGUAGGGUGCGAGCGUUAUUCGGAAUUACUGGGCGUAAAGCGUGCGCAGGCGGUUGUGUAAGACAGACGUGAAAUCCCCGGGCUCAACCUGGGAACUGCGUUUGUGACUGCACGGCUAGAGUACGGCAGAGGGGGGUGGAAUUCCACGUGUAGCAGUGAAAUGCGUAGAGAUGUGGAGGAACACCGAUGGCGAAGGCAGCCCCCUGGGCCAGUACUGACGCUCAUGCACGAAAGCGUGGGGAGCAAACAGGAUUAGAUACCCCCGUAGUCCCUGUCUCUUAUAC
rnacentral:rRNA from 1 species